rnacentral:lncRNA from 1 species
GAAGCUUGGCUUCUCCUUCUGUUGAGUUGCCUGGUUGUUGGUUCUACCGCCAUCUGCUGCUGGCAGCUGUACCUCUCCCUGAGCAGGACCGCCCUGUUCCCCUUGCUGCAAUUGUAGAGUCUCCAUCCAAUUCCAGCACGAGUGACUUGAGCGUGGGAAAGGUGUUGCAGGUGUACUUGCGGACCCAACGAGCCUGGAAGAUGGGGUGGUGGGGGGCGGAGGGCGCAAUGGUGGAGGCAGCGAAGGAGGAGGAGGAAGGCAAGGAUGGGAAGGUGGAGAGUGCAAGAGAGAUGGCAGGGGUGGAAGCCACCAAGGAUCUAUCUACAUGA